CCGGUAGGCAGGGCGAAGCUGAUCCGCCUGCCGCGUGUGUGAAGAAGGUCUUCGGAUUGUAAAGCACUUUAAGUUGGGAGGAAGGGUCGUAAAUUAAUACUCUGCGGUUUUGACGUUACCGACAGAAUAAGCACCGGCUAACUCUGUGCCAGCAGCCGCGGUAAUACG
rnacentral:rRNA from 1 species